UGUCUCCUCCACCUCCUCGUUUGAUGUGGAUUUAAACCCGAAGCCAUAAAGCUUCGGGUUUUUUUU
rnacentral:ncRNA from 1 species